rnacentral:lncRNA from 1 species
GGACGUAUUCCCUUUUACCGCUAGGUCACACAGAGGUUCUCAAAUAAUGUUAAACGUUAUAUUACAAUUUUGUUUGACAAUGUGAUAGAACGAAAGAAGGAGGAAAGAAAAUUGUACGAAAAGUCGGUUGAAUCGAUAACAAGGGGGAACUUCGAAAAGACGCGAACUCGUUAAAGGACGAUAGUGUACCGAUCGAGGAUACUGUAUAAUAGUAAGAUUUUUCAAUAUAUUUAUUCGUAUGGACAAGUUGGAGCAUAGUGCACAAUAUAAUUAAUAUAUAGUAGUCUGAGGAAGGGGUCAGAUUACAUUCUGGAGUUUGAACACAAUAUCUUACAAUUUAACGACAAGAUGCCUGCGUUUUUGUAUUUGCUUCUGUACGUAAUGUUACUCGUAUAUUCAUAUAUUCGAAGUGUAUAAUAUAUAAAGCGUAACGA